CACCGAGGGGAAAAAAAAUGUUGCCUGCCAUAUCAGUAAACAAAGAACGUUGCCUGCCAUCAAGCCAUCAGCCACUGCAGCCACCGGACUCUGUGCACCCUGAGGGGAAUUCAGUUUGGAGAAAAGAAGGAUACUGGCCCUAGCAAAAACUCCUAUGCGUCGCGGCUCUUCUGUUACCUCUUCAGAACAGUUCCUCAGAGCUAUCUGAGAGGCUGUCAGCCAGGUUAUAGCCCUCAGGAAGGUCCCCAAAUAAAGCAUAACUCACAACUUUUAA